GGGUGGAUGAGUGGCGAACGGGUGAGUAACACGUGAGUAACCUACCCCCGAUUUCGGGAUAAGCCCGGGAAACUGGGUCUAAUACCGGAUACGACCAUCCCUCGCAUGAGGGUUGGUGGAAAGUUUUUCGAUCGGGGAUGGGCUCGCGGCCUAUCAGCUUGUUGGUGGGGUAUGGCCCACCUGGCGACGACGGGUAGCCGGCCUGGAGCCGACCGGCACACUGGGACUGAUAUCGGCCUUACUCCUUCGGGAGGAGCGUGCGGAUUUCGCUAUGGGGUGAAACCCUGAGGAGUGACCAUUGGUU
rnacentral:rRNA from 1 species